AUUAGAUACCCGGGUAGUCCUAGCCGUAAACGAUACUCGCUAGGUGUCGGCCACGGUGCGACCGUUGUCGGUGCCGUAGGGAAGCCGUGGAGCGAGCCACCUGGGAAGUACGGCCGCGAGGCUGAAACUUAAAGGAAUUGGCGGGGGAGCACCACAACGGGUGGAGCUUGCGGUUUAAUUGGAUUCAACGCCGGAAAUCUUACCGGGACCGACAGCGAUAUGAAGGCCAGGCUGAAGACUUUGCCGGAUUAGCUGAGAGGUGGUGCAUGGC
rnacentral:rRNA from 1 species